rnacentral:tRNA from 1 species
GGGAGAGAUGGCUGAGUGGACUAAAGCGUCGGAUUGCUAAUCCGUUGUACGAAUUAUUCGUACCGAGGGUUCGAAUCCCUCUCUCUCCGACCCCC